UCAUCUGUUCAGGUUAAACCAGCUGUUGCAUGAUCUAUGAGAUCUAUAAAUAAUAUGAAAAGUGGUAUUUGUGGUCUUAUAUAAGUGAGUGUGUAACAACUUAUUUGUGUUAGCUUUGAAUGUAUAAUUAACUCUUGUUGGCUAUUAUUUCCUGCAACUAGAUCUCUCCUUGUAAUUUCAACAUCAACUCUUGUAUCAAGGAAAUGUUCUAUUGUUACAUGUUCAUCAUUUUGCUUUUUUAAUGGAUAGACCCAACUGUGAGAUUUGAU
rnacentral:misc_RNA from 1 species